GUGAUUGGUCACUUGGGGGCAGCACGUUGUAAACACCACGCGGACGUUUCUUCGCGGUUUAAAGUUAAUAUGGCUAACUAGUUAGCAAACUGUUGCUUAUUUACACUACCGCCAGACACAAGGAAACAUUAACCUGUAUUUGGAGUCGCCUGAGGGAUGAAUACGGGCCACGCAAUCGGAGGGCUGCAAUCUUCUCGAUCAAUUUCUACCUGCGUUCCUCUUUGUGAUGUUUUGGGACACAUUCCAGUCCAAUAUCUACAACGCUAUUUUGGCCGAACAAUCAAAUUGAACGAGUGGGUGAGGAGAGCGGCCACAAGAGGUGGAAAUCAUCGCCUGAGAGGAAGCAGGAAGUGGCUGCUGAUGGCGUCAGGAUCGAGGUGUCGCUCCCUGCCUGGGUGCUCUGCCGUGCCACAUCUGUCCAUCUGUCAAGCAUACAGGCCCAUCAAUCAAACAGCUGAAUGCAGGGUCAUGAACUGUAAUAUCUGAACACAGAUGUGUAGUGGAACGUCUGUGCAGAGUGUGUACAAAGACACUGAUGUGGGCAGGUCACUGUUCAGACCCAAAGACAACAUGUCUCUUUGAUGCACUUUAUUUUGAUUGCGUUUGUUUACAUAUGGACCGGCUCUGAACACCAUUUAGAACCAGGUGUGUGUGUGAACGAGGAGGAGGAGGAGUUAGCUUUCUCACGCUUGUUCUCGUCACUGUUGUAAUGUCAUCUCUCUGAGACACGCAAUACAAAAUGAGCUCCAAAAGAUUUACAACUGAAGAAGCUUCUGGACCGUGAUAGUGAUGAAGAGGAAGAGGUUUCAGAGACCGAGGAUCCUUCAGAGGCCGAGGACAAUACUAUUGACGAUCCGGAUUAUGAAUAUUCCCACGAUGAAGAUGAUUCAGAGGACGAUCCUGCCGUAGUCUCUCCAUCAGAUGAACACCAAGGAAUGCAGCAAUCCUCCACAGAAGUGACAUGAGCAUCUAAAGAUGGUAACAUCUCCACACCACAGCCAGACUGUCAUCUUCCAAUGUCAUCAAGAGGACUCCAGGCCCUCCAACAUCUGCUUCCACACGAGUUGAUGAUAUUCAAUCAGCAUUUCAGCUCUUCAUAUCCCACCAAUAGAGAGGAUCGUACUGGACAUGACCAACUCAGAGGGGAGGCGUGUAUGUCAGAAACAUGGAGGCCACUGGAUCAGAUUGACUUGCAUGCGUACAUUGUAAUCCUGAGUGUGCAAGUCAAGGGGAGAAGCAACUGCCAGUCUGUGGGAUGAAGAGAAGGGAAGGCCAAUCUUUGGAGCCACAAAGUCUCUGGAGUCAUUUCACCUGAUGUCUCGGGUGAUCCGAUUUCACAACCGUGACACCAGAGCUGGUCGACGUGAAAGAGACAAACCGGCUGCGAUCAGAGACGUUUGGGAUAAAUGGGUCCAAGUUCUUCCUCUGUUGGACAAUCCUGGUCCCCGUGUUACUGUAGACGAGCGCCUUGUUCCAUUCAGUAAGACAAGAACCUCUUGUGUGAAAUGCAAGAAUCACAUCUGCAGGAAGCACACAGGGAAAAUGUUAUGUAAAGAAUUGUUGAAUAUAGUGUUGGAUUGUUG
ensembl:lncRNA